rnacentral:RNase_P_RNA from 1 species
UGAGUUGGUUAGACAAUCGCUGGUUUAUUGAAGCCUCUAAAUUCGUGAAAACGAGAACUGGGGGACAAGUAAACGAGAGGAAAGUCCGAGCUACACAGGGCAGAGUGCCGGAUAACGUCCGGGGGGCGUGAGCCUACGACCAGUGCAACAGAGAGCAGACCGCCUGUUUCGGCAGGUAAGGGUGAAAGGGUGUGGUAAGAGCACACCGUGCCGGUGGUAACAUUCGGCAGCAGGGUAAACUCCACUCGUAGCAAGACCAAAUAGGAACUCAAUCGGUUGCCCGCCGAGAGUUCGGGUAGGUUGCUUGAGCGUAUGUGUAAAUAUACGCCUAGAGGAAUGAUUGUCCACGACAGAACUCGGCUUAUCGACCGACUCACCAA